rnacentral:rRNA from 1 species
UAAACUUAGUGGCGGACGGGUGAGUAACGCGUGGGUAACCUGCCUUUCACUGGGGGAUAACAGUUAGAAAUGACUGCUAAUACCGCAUAAGCGCACGGGUUCGCAUGAACUAGUGUGAAAAACUCCGGUGGUGAAAGAUGGACCCGCGUCUGAUUAGCUAGUUGGUGAGGUAACGGCCCACCAAGGCGACGAUCAGUAGCCGGCCUGAGAGGGUGAACGGCCACAUUGGGACUGAGACACGGCCCAAACUCCUACGGGAGGCAGCAGUGGGGAAUAUUGCACAAUGGGGGAAACCCUGAUGCAGCGACGCCGCGUGAGUGAAGAAGUAUUUCGGUAUGUAAAGCUCUAUCAGCAGGGAAGAAAAUAACGGUACCUGAUUAAGAAGCCCCGGCUAACUACGUGCCAGCAGCCGCGGUAAUACGUAGGGGGCAAGCGUUAUCCGGAUUUACUGGGUGUAAAGGGUGCGUAGAUGGUUUAGCAAGUCUGAAGUGAAAGCUCGGGGCUCAACUCCGGAACUGCUUUGGAAACUGUUGAACUAGAGUGCAGGAGGGGUAAGCGGAAUUCCUAGUGUAGCGGUGAAAUGCUUAGAUAUUAGGAGGAACACCGGCGGCGAAGGCGGCUUACUGGACUGUAACUGACAUUGAGGCACGAAAGCGUGGGGAGCAAACAGGAUUAGAUACCCUGGUAGUCCACGCCGUAAACGAUGAUCACUAGAUGUUGGGGG